CCCUUCGGGGGGACGACGGUGGAAUGAGCGGCGGACGGGUGAGUAACACGUAAAGAACCUGCCCAUAGGUCUGGGAUAACCACGAGAAAUCGGGGCUAAUACCGGAUGUGUCAUCGGACCGCAUGGUCCGCUGAUGAAAGGCGCUCCGGCGUCGCCCAUGGAUGGCUUUGCGGUGCAUUAGCUAGUUGGUGGGGUAACGGCCCACCAAGGCGACGAUGCAUAGCCGACCUGAGAGGGUGAUCGGCCACACUGGGACUGAGACACGGCCCAGACUCCUACGGGAGGCAGCAGUAGGGAAUCUUCCACAAUGGACGAAAGUCUGAUGGAGCAACGCCGCGUGAACGAUGAAGGCUUUCGGGUCGUAAAGUUCUGUUGUAAGGGAAGAACAAGUGCCGCAGGCAAUGGCGGCACCUUGACGGUACCUUGCGAGAAAGCCACGGCUAACUACGUGCCAGCAGCCGCGGUAAUACGUAGGUGGCAAGCGUUGUCCGGAAUUAUUGGGCGUAAAGCGCGCGCAGGCGGCCUCUUAAGUCUGAUGUGAAAGCCCCCGGCUCAACCGGGGAGGGCCAUUGGAAACUGGGAGGCUUGAGUAUAGGAGAGAAGAGUGG
rnacentral:rRNA from 1 species